rnacentral:rRNA from 1 species
AGCGAACGCUGGCGGCAGGCCUAACACAUGCAAGUCGAACGGAACCUUCGGGUUCAGUGGCGGACGGGUGAGUAACACGUGGGAACGUGCCCUAUGGUUCGGAAUAACUCAGGGAAACUUGAGCUAAUACCGGAUAAGCCCUACGGGGGAAAGAUUUAUCGCCAUUGGAGCGGCCCGCGUCUGAUUAGCUAGUUGGUGAGGUAAAGGCUCACCAAGGCUACGAUCAGUAGCUGGUCUGAGAGGAUGAUCAGCCACAUUGGGACUGAGACACGGCCAAACUCCUACGGGAGGCAGCAGUGGGAAUCUUGCGCAAUGGGCGAAAGCCUGACGCAGCCAUGCCGCGUGAAUGAUGAAGGUCUUAGGAUUGUAAAAUUCUUUCACC